CCUACGGGAUGCACCAGUGGGAGAUAUUGCACAAUGGGCGCAAGCCUGAUGCAGCCAUGCCGCGUGUAUGAAGAAGGCCUUAGGGUUGUAAAGCUCUUUCACCGGUGAAGAUAAUGACGGUAACCGGAGAAGAAGCCCCGGCUAACUUCGUGCCAGCAGCCGCGGUAAUACGAAGGGGGCUAGCGUUGUUCGGAAUUACUGGGCGUAAAGCGCGCGUAGGCGGAUAGAUAAGUCAGAGGUGAAAUCCCGGGGCUCAACCCCGGAAUUGCCUUUGAUACUGUUUAUCUUGAGUGCAGAAGAGGUAAGUGGAAUUCCGAGUGUAGAGGUGAAAUUCGUAGAUAUUCGGAGGGACACCAGUGGCGAAGGCGGCUUACUGGUCUGCAACUGACGCUGAGGCGCGAAAGCGUGGGGAGCAAACAGGAUUAGAUACCCGCGUAGUC
rnacentral:rRNA from 1 species